AGACCUUGAUCGCAGUCGGCACCGCGAUGAUCAGCGUCGUCGUCGCAAAGAAGAAGCCGAAUUUCGGAUUCAUGCCGCUGACAUACAUGUGGUGCGCCCACACCACGAAGCUCAGCGCGCCGAUUCCGACGAUCGCCCACACCAUCAUGCGAUAGCCAAAAAUGUUCUUGCGUGCGUGGGUGCUGAUGAGAUCGGAGACGAUCCCGAAAGCCGGCAGCGCGACGAUAUAGACCUCGGGAUGACCGAAGAACCAGAACAGAUGCUGGAACAA
rnacentral:misc_RNA from 1 species